UACGUAGGGCGCAAGCGUUAUCCGGAAUUAUUGGGCGUAAAGAGCUCGUAGGCGGUCUGUCGCGUCGGCUGUGAAAACCCGGAGCUCAACUCCGGGCCUGCAGUCGAUACGGGCAAACUGGAGUGUUGCAGGGGAGACUGGAAUUCCUGGUGUAGCGGUGAAAUGCGCAGAUAUCAGGAGGAACACCGGUGGCGAAGGCGGGUCUCUGGGCAACAACUGACGCUGGAGGAGCGAAAGCGUGGGGAGCGAACAGGA
rnacentral:rRNA from 1 species